GUAUUCUUACGUGAUUGACCGUACCAUAAGAAUAAGCACCGGCUAACUCCGUGCCAGCAGCCGCGGUAAUACGGAGGGUGCAAGCGUUAUCCGGAUUCACUGGGUUUAAAGGGUGCGUAGGAGGGCAGGUAAGUCAGUGGUGAAAUCUCCGAGCUUAACUCGGAAACUGCCGUUGAUACUAUCUGUCUUGAAUACCGUGGAGGUGAGCGGAAUAUGUCAUGUAGCGGUGAAAUGCUUAGAUAUGACAUAGAACACCAAUUGCGAAGGCAGCUCACUACACGAAUAUUGACUCUGAGGCACGAAAGCGUGGGGAUCAAACAGGAUUAGAUACCCUGGUAGUCCACGCCCUAAACGAUGGAUACUCGACAUACGCGAUACACUGUGUGUGUCUGAGCGAAAGCAUUAAGUAUCCCACCUGGGAAGUACGACCGCAAGGUUGAAACUCAAAGGAAUUGACG
rnacentral:rRNA from 1 species